UGGCGGCCUGAGCCGCAGUCCUCCUUCCCCUCCUCCCUCUCGGCUGCUGCAGUGCCCAGGCCCCCCACUCUCCUCGUCUGUAACGGUGCCAGAGGCUUUAAAUCUUGCAGAAGCCACAUCUGCUGCCGGCAGGCUAUGGAAGUGGCAGCUUGUGAUUUUAAUACCAAAGAAAGCCUAGAGCACAGAGAGCGGCAGAGGUGAACCCCUUUGUGUUUGACGCCUGGCAUUUGAGUUGUGCUGAAGGAGGAGAAGCCAAUCUGUCACUGGGGAUUGAAGUUAGCUUCUGUGGUGACAUUCAUGGUCCCAGUGGAUGAAGUCCCCAAGAGGGAAGUAAAUGCCACCUGUGAUCUGGCAGAGAAAGAGAAUCAAAGGGAGCAGAAGCUGCUGCCUCCUGCCCUCACCACGGCCUUCCUGGGAACAUCGUUUGUGGGCUUAGUCUUUAGAUCAUUCGCUGGCUGAUUCAGUCAUUC
rnacentral:lncRNA from 1 species